ensembl:lncRNA
GGGCUGGCAGGUGUGUCAUCAGGGGUUGAUGUUGCAUCAUCCAAAAUUGUAGGUAGCAUGGUAGCCCUUAGCUUAAAUGACCUUCAAAAAGCUUUAAUUCUCUUUUGGGCUUCAGCCCUAUCUUCGAAAAGGUGUCCAGGUGGCACGAACACUCACAAGUCCAGUCUCUGAACUGGUCUACUGACCCUGCCUGACCUGGUCUGAGUCAGGCCAUCAGCAACUGCGCCCGUGCUGGUGUCAACCGUUGUAGGGCUUCUCCCCGGGUCACUGGACGGCUGCUCUGGUGGAGGACCCAGUGUACCCGAUGUUGUAGACAUCACGCUGGGCACCACCUGAAGAUGGCGACGGUUGCGGCAAAGUCUGGCUCCCUGCUCCGUCUCCACAAGACAUCAUCGAUCUCCCAAAACGACCCAAGUCCAUCAUCGUUUUUAGUCUAGCGGAUGGCAGAC